ACUGGAAAAUGAAGAGAAGAAGGGAUCCUCUAAGUUCAAAACCAACACUAGAGGCAAAACCAAACACUUUUCAAAGAAAAAUGUCAAGUAUUUUCUCUUCCUGAAUUCCGACAAGGGUGAAUAGUUAAUCAGUAUCUAGAUAGGAAAUCACCUACUUUUCUCUUGUCCCUUGCUUCUUUGGCAGGCAUGGCUCUGAACCCUCCAAAACCGCAGCUGUCACUCCCAUCUCUAUCCCGGUGGCUGUUCCAGCUGCUGCUGCUGCCACUGCUGCUGCCAUCACUGCAACCGCUGCCACCAACACUGCCACUGCUGCCACCAACACCACUAUCAUGGUAGCUGCUGCUCCAGUUCCUGUUGCUGCUGCUGCCCCAGCUCCGGCAAAUGCUGCUGCUCUUGCUGCUGCUGUCUCUCUAGUUGCUGCUGUUUCUCCAGCUAUUGCGGUCUCUCCAGCUGCUGCUGUCUCUCCAGCUGUUGCUGUCUCUCCAGCUGCUGCUGUCUCUCCAGCUGCUGCUGUCCAGAGUCCAGCUGCUUCAUCUCUUACUUCUGCUACUGUUUCUCCCACUCCUCCUGCUGCUACUGCUGCUGCUGCUGCAGCUGCUGCUGCUGCUGCUGCCACUGCUACUGCUGUUCAGGUUGCUCCAGCUGCUUCGGCUCCAGUUCCAGCUCCCGCUCCGAUUCCGGCUCCAGCAACGGCUCAGUCUUCUGCUCCGACUCCGACUCAAGCAUCAACUCCAGCUCCGACAGCAGCUCCUACUCCAGCUCCAACUCCAACUCCAGCUUUGGCUCAGGCUGAGGGUCCUGCAAGUCCAGGUACCGGUUCUGGACCUCGCCGUUUGUCCACACCAAAUCUGAUGUGCAACCCAGACAAGCCAGAUGUUCCUGUUUUCCACUGCAGUACUCUGGAAAGAAAAGCACCCAUUCAGAUCCUGGGUCAAGAACCUGACGCAGAGAUGGUGGAAUAUCUCAUCUAAAUGGCACAAUCAAGAGCUGAAGUUAUCAGCAAGAGCUCUUUUAACCACUUUUUCCCUUUUGUUUGUUUAAUCUGGGGUGAUGAUGGGGUUGGGAGGUGGGGGUGAUUUUUUAAAGGGACUUUUUAAUUGGACUCUUGUAGUACUUAAUACCAUGAGAAUUCCAGUCUAUUUUGGAAUACGUAGGGAGUACCUCAAAAUGAUAGGUUAAGCAGAAUGUGCUCUAAAGCUUACUGGUUGGAUUGAUACAAAUCAUGGACUAUUAACAGGUAGUGAUGUCCACUGAUUUAAGAUGUUUCCAUUUGUUUUUUAAGCGCCCAAUUUGAGGUCAUUUUUCAUUGAAGACUACAGUAUGUGUGGAAGGCAGUUUGGAACACGUAGUUCAGAAAUGGAAAUCCAGAGAGAGUUUGAGGCCUUGCUGCUUUGUCUAGCUUCUACCUAGACAACAGCCACAGAAAGUUCUCAUUUUGAGCUGGGAAAAGACAAUGUUUUUUAGGAGCUUUGAAAGCUGGAGAAAAGGAAGAGAGUAUUGGGGUUAAGAAGGGUGCUGGAGCCAAUUUUCUCUCCCAGUUGCCAGUUACCCUGCGCCCUCAAAUUGAUGGUGUUUAUCUCCAUUUCAAUGGUGCUUUGGAAGUGGAGUCUUUUGGUUCCCUCCUGGAGGUUCAUACAUUCAUAUAUGUACUCUGGAAUAAUUUAUGCAUUUGGAUAAUUAAUAUAUUGCUUUCAGAUGGUAGGAGAGUAAAUGAACAGAGUGAUGCAUGACUUCCUCUCUCAUAGGGAGCUUGUUGUUAGAAGCCUUGACUGGGGGCUUCGUGAGAUGCUGCAUGCAGGUUUCAGUGGUCUGGGAAUAGUUAUAUGAACAUGGCUCAGUCACCUUAAAUGAGAUCAGUUGACUGACUUAGCCUUUACUUCUUCCACAACGCAGAUUCACUGGCUGAUUCGCCAGUCUUUGUUUGCCAAUAAUUUGCAAAAUGAGGAAAACAUCUUUUUUGACAGGCUGAAUGUGUUGAAUUUCUGCCUAAUACUUAGAAAUAUUUCAUUUUUGUUUUCCCAAAUUCUUGGCAUGUGUCUUCAAGGCAUAUGCAACUGUCACCUCCAUGGAAAUAACAUAAGACGUCCAAAGUACCAGGCUGCAGUCAGGAGAGAGGUUGAUUGCAGCAAUCUCCUCAACUACCUCUUCUCACUGUCAGUGACUCUAUCUUGGAAUCCCCUUAGGAAGCAGCUGGGAAUGUAUACAUGGGCGGGACCAAACAGGGAGCCUUGCCAUAGGGCUGCCUCUAAGGACACAGAGGCUGUUAGUUGUCAUGGGUCCUUGUCCUUAGUCUCUGCCCUUCAUUAAGGUAAUAGAACUGCAGAUAGUAUCACUAAGAUCAAUUUGCAGGGGUAUAGGGAGGGUAAGGGGAGGGGGACUAUUAGGUAAAGGGGAGUAGAGGUUUAGUGAUAGAUUAAGUUAGAGAUCACAUUGCUUGUAUAUUAUACCAUGGGCUUUAGUGAGUGGGAAGGAACUUUAUCUAGCAGUGUAGCUCUGCCUUCUAAUUUUAGUGAUGAGGAAUCUGAGAUUUGGAAAAGUUUGACUUUUUCAAGAUCACACAGCACAUCUGUCUCUUCUAACAAUUACAUACCCAUUUGGGGGAAAUGGUUAUCUCUAAAGAAGAGCCUGUUUUUUGAAGAAAAGGUAUCUUCCUAGUCUAGGGUGUGCCUACUUUUGAAAAUCUUCUUGAUUUGACUAGAUUGUUUGUGGUUCUGAAUUCUUGUCUUGUCUCUGCUGGAGUGCCUUUAUGGAAUUGUUUUUUUCCUCAUCCCCCUUAAUCAUUGAGCUACAUGAAAUGCACCCCUAAGAAAUCAACUCAACUGUUUUUACUAUAAGACUGGGUGUCUUGGGUCAUUUUAUGUAUUCCUCUGUGAGUAUAUAAGAGUGCUAUAUUUACCUGUAUUCUUGUGUAGUUCCUAAUUACCUUCCAAAGGAUUUAUUUGUGUGUGUGUGUGUGUGUGUGUGUGUGUGUGUGUGUGUGUGUGUGUAGAUGAGGAAAAAAAAUGUGAGUUAGUUGUUCUGUGGACUCCAGGGACAGAACUCAAUCAUCCAAUACAUUGGUCCUCAGUUAAACAGUAAAUGCCAAAUAGAAAUUUGAAAGUGCAGUCAUGUUAAUAAUGCUCAUUCCCAUCAUUUUUGUUGCAAAGAAACAAACUUUCAGACAGUAGAAGAAUCAGGCAGCAAGCAGCAGGAGAGUUACUUUCUGCCCCCGCAAAUUAAUGAAAAUAAAAAACUUUUCGUGUCCUCUCUCUUGAUGAUAGCACAUUGCUAGAGUUUGGGCUGACUCUGGGAGCCACGAUCCUAAUCACAUUCUGUAAAGUGACAGAUGUGAUACAUUCCACACUGUGUGGCAACCAUCUCUUUAGAAUUGUGUGUUUGGGGAAAUAAGGACAUCCUUGCUGAAGUUUUGAACUUUCCAGAACCUCUCUGGCCUGCCACACUAGAGAUAGUCAUUCUGUUCAAUUUUCAGUCCUAGGCAAUUUGUUACAAGGACACUAUACAUCUAAGCAUGGGUGAAGACUAUGUUGGUACAGUCUGUUUAUGGAUCAUACAGACUCUACCUUUGAGAACAUUUCUACUAGAUAUCAGUUUUAAAAUUCAGUUUUAUGGGAUACAUCUCAAAAUAGCCACCUUCACAGUGUGUGGAUGUAAGAUUUGGAGCCUCUCCCUGGACUUCCUCCUGUCUAUAGUAAAAUGUAUGAAUUUUUCUGGCACCCCAGAAGAGGAGGGGGCAUUUAUUGUCUUAACUUUUACUGUCUGGUGGUUUCUGAGGACCUUAUAAUUCAUUUGUUGCCAGCAAUGUCCCAUGUCCAGCAACAUUUCUUUUGAUUGAACUAUACUUGAUACAAAACUGUUAACAUUGUUGGGGAAGUAAAGUCAGCUUGAAUUUCUCCAGAAAGUCAUGCAUUGUGACUGUUGUCUUAAUGAAGGUUUUCAUUUCAGUGUUGUUUUUGAGCUUCGGGGUGACGGGGUAUUAGAAACUUGAAGCAUCUGCCACAAUCCAUGACAGGAAACAGAGCAAGAUACCUGUCAUGUUCUCCUUUUACUUUUGCACUGUUGAAUGGGUCUAACAAAUUGGUUCCCAAGCUCCUUUUUAUGAAGAAUCUAAAUAAUGUGGCAGCUUAAAAUAGAGAUGUGUGCUAACUUUAAUACAUGCUCAUGUCUGUUAGCCAUACAGUCUGUUAUCUUAAAUGCUCAUUCAUACAUGGAAUAUGUUACUUAAAAUGUGUUCCUUCCAGAAAAUGUUUGCAAAGGGAGGUAUUGGCUGUGGGUUCAUUGUUACCAAUUUCUGCCUGCCACAAUCUUUAGAAAUUCUUCCAAGUGCCACCAUUGACAGUAGGACAAGGAUUGGAAGCAUGUACAUUUUCUUCUCGUAGCAAGGGUGGGUUACAAGAAGCUUUCAAACCUCCUUCUGACCUGUGUUAUCAAUGGUCUAUUUUAAUAAAAUGGCUAGAUGGGGUUGGCAGAUGGUUCGAGAAGAAUUUUGGUGUAAUAAAUGUGGUCUCAUAGUGAUUGUGAUCCUAUUCUGUAAUCAAGAGAACUAGAUCAAAUAAAGUUAAGCAGGUUAAAUCCACUUUGUGCCUAUCUUUUCACUGACAAUAAAGUUAGCUGUUUGAAAAUGCAGCCCUGUGUAGAAAAUGCUUUGGUGUUUACUGGAUAUAGGCAUUGUGUGAAGUUAGUGAUUAUUUUCAGUUCAGUACCCAGUAAAUUGUCCUGCACCAGCAGCAGCAGAAUUUGCAUUUGCUCAAAGUAUGGGAAGUGAUUAAAAGUCUUCAGACAACACAACAGGCAGUAUUCUCUAAUCAGUCAAAAAUAUAUCAAAAAGCUUUACACCGUUUUGCUUCCUUGUUCUGGAGGAUAAAAUGAUGGCCACCUUAAGCAGAAAAUUAAUUUGGGGGUUAGCAUUUUGGAAGCUCCCUCCCCCCAGUUUGGGAUUCCUUUUGUAACAGUAGUAGUUGUGCCGAUUCCAUCAGUUGUGUAGUUGCAGGGUCUUGUUUAUAAAGGCAAA
rnacentral:lncRNA from 1 species